rnacentral:rRNA from 1 species
UACGUAGGGGGCAAGCGUUGUCCGGAAUCAUUGGGCGUAAAGCGCGUGUAGGUGGUUAAUAAAGUUGGGUGUGAAAUCCCUCGGCUCAACCGAGGAAGUGCACUCAAAACUAAUUAGCUUGAGAGUGGUAGAGGAAGGUGGAAUUCCUAGUGUAGAGGUGAAAUUCGUAGAUAUUAGGAGGAAUACCGGAGGCGAAGGCGGCCUUCUGGACCAUUUCUGACACUGAGACGCGAAAGCGUGGGUAGCAAACAGG